AGUGAACGCUGGCGGUAGGCCUAACACAUGCAAGUCGAACGGCAGCACAGUAAGAGCUUGCUCUUACGGGUGGCGAGUGGCGGACGGGUGAGGAAUACAUCGGAAUCUACUUUUUCGUGGGGGAUAACAUAGGGAAACUUACGCUAAUACCGCAUACGACCUACGGGUGAAAGCAGGGGAUCUUCGGACCUUGCGCGAUUGAAUGGGCCGAUGUCGGAUUAGCUAGUUGGCGGGGUAAAGGCCCACCAAGGCGACGAUCCGUAGCUGGUCUGAGAGGAUGAUCAGACACACUGGAACUGAGACACGGUCCAGACUCCUACGGGAGGCAGCAGUGGGGAAUAUUGGACAAUGGGCGCAAGCCUGAUCCAGCCAUACCGCGUGGGUGAAGAAGGCCUUCGGGUUGUAAAGCCCUUUUGUUGGGAAAGAAAAGCAGCAGGUUAAUACCCCGCUGUUCUGACGGUACCCAAAGAAUAAGCACCGGCUAACUUCGUG
rnacentral:rRNA from 1 species